GUUUUGCUUUUUCUAUAUAAAUGGAAUUUUAUAUAAAUUAAAUCAUAAGGCCAGACACAGUGGCUCGAGCCUGUAAUCUCAGGACUUUGGAAGGCCAAGGUGGAUGGAUCACCUGAGGUCAGGAGUUUGAGACCAGCCUGACCAAUACAAUGAAACCCUGUCUCUACUAAAAAUACAAGAAUUAGCCGGGUGUUGUGGCAUAUGCCUGUAAUCCCAGCUACUCGGAGGCUGAGGCAGAAGAAUCACUUGAAUGUGGGAGGUGGAGGUUGCAGUAAGCUGAGAUCGCCCCACUGCACUCCAGCCUGGGUAACAGAGCGAGACUCCAUCUCAAAAAAAAUUUAAAAAGCAGUUAAAUCAUACAGUAUGUAGUAUUCUGUAAGAUUUUUUAAAAAUCAAGUUUCUUAUAAAGUUAAACAUACAGUUACCAUAUAAUCCCUUAAUCUCACUCCUAUGUUUUUACCCAAGAGAAAUAAAAACAUGUGUCUACACAAUAGCUGGCAUGAAUGUUCAUAGCAGUUUUAUUCAUAACAACCCAAAGCUAGAAACAACCAGAUGUCCAAGAAUGGGUGAAGGUAUAAACACAUUGUGGUAUAGCCAUACAAUGGAAUACUACAGUAUGUCUGACUAUUUUCACUUAGCACCAUAAUAUGGAGAAAUCCCACAUACACUCUUCCCAGUUUAUGCCAAUGGCAAAGUCUUGCAAAACUAUAGUAUAAAAUCACAGAUAGUAUAUUGACAUUCAUACUAAGUCAACUGACCUUGACACUUAAGAUACAGAAUAUUUCCAUCAUCAUGGGGAUUUCUCAUAUUGCCCUUUUAAAGCUACAGCCCUUCCUUCCCACCCCUAUUCACUCUAUAAUCCCUGCUAACCACUAAUCUGUUCUCCAUUCCUAUGAUUUUGUCAUUUUAGGAAUGUUAUAUGAGGCUGGGCUCAGUGGCUCACACCUGUAAUCCCAGCACUUUGGGAGGCCGAGGCAGCCAGAUCACCUAAGGUCAGGAGUCCGAGACCAGCCUGGCCAACAUGCACUACGUUGUUUAAAGAAGAUAUAAGACAAAGUAGCUAAAAAAUGUGGGUGGACAUGGCAGCUCACACCUGUAAUCCCAGCACUUUGAGAAGUUGAAGUGGAUGGAUUGCUUGAACCCAGGAGUUUAAGACCAGCCUUGGCAACAUGAAACGGCGGGAAGUGCCGCAAAUCCAGAGAGACAGUCACCCUAGAGAGGGAUGGAGAACCGUGGAGUCCUCCACUUGCGUGUCAUUCAAUCAAGUAGGUGCCUAAGGACCAGGCUCUCCAAGUCACUCUAAGACCGAUGCAGCCAACCCGUGAGUAAAAGUUAAUCAUGCUGUGAAAGGUGUUAAAAUCCUACUGAAACAGAAGGUAGUUCCUCUUCUCUCACCAUUGUAAAUCAACCAUGAAAGCACAUUUUGGUUGUGUACAGUGGCUCAUACCCAUAAUCCCAGAACUUUGGGAGGCCGAGGCAGGAGGAUCACUUGAGCUCAGGAGUUUGAGACCAGCCUAGGCAAGAGAGCAAGUCUCUUUCUCUACAAAAUAUUUAAAAAUUAGCUGUGCACGGUGGUGUACGCCUGUAGUUCCAGAUACUCGGGAGGCUUAAGUGGGAGGAUUGCAUGAGCCCAGGAGUUAGAGGAUGCAGUGAGCUGUAAUUGUGCCACUGCACUCCAGCCCGGGCAACAGAGUGAGACCAAAAAAUCAGUUUUAUUUAUAGCUUAAUGUGAUUGAAUUACAACUUUUUUUUUGAGAUGGAGUCUCACUCUGUCACUAGGCUGGAGUGCAGUGGUAUGAUCUUGGCUCAUUCAACCUCUGUGUCCUGGGUUCAAGUGAUUCUCCUGCUUCAAUCUCCCAAGUAGCUGGGACUACAGGUGCGCGCCACCACACCCAGCUUAUUUUUGUAUUUUUAGUAGAGAUGGGGUUUCACCAUGUUGUCCAGGAUGGUCUCGAUCUCUUGACCUUUUGAUCCACCCACCUUGGCCUCUGAAAGCCUUGGGAUUACAGGCGUGAACCACCAUGCCCCGCCUGUGUCACAACUCUUUAGAGGCAGUAUGGCAUAAUGAUCAGGAACUGGGUUUUAGAGUCACUUGCAACCUCUCUGACCCGAUCCUCAGUUUCUAUAUCUAUAAAAUAGAGAUUAUGAUACUAGGUGUAAUGUGAAAAUUAGGACUCGGUAAACAAAGUGCCUGGUAUUAUUUUUGGCUCAAUAAUAAUGACUAGUAUUCUCAUGUUUUUACCCUUCCUAGUUGACAACUUAACCACUUAAAAAUUAGAAAUUGUGGUAAGACUUUUUUUUUUUGAGAUGGAGUUUCUCUCUUGUUGCCCAGGCUGCAGUGGAAUGGCAUGAUCUCGGCUCACCACAACCUCUGCAUCCUGGGUUCAAGCAAUUCCCCUGCCUCAGCCUCCUGAGUAGUUGGGAUUACAGGAGUGUGCCACCACACCUAGCUAAUUUUGUAUUUUUAGUGGAGAUGGGGUUUACCAUAUUGGCCAGGCUAGUCUUGAACUCCCGACUUCAGGUGAUCCACCUGCCUCAGCUUCCCAAAGUGCUGGGAUUACAGGCGUAAGCCACCAUGCACCAGCCAGAAAUUGUGAUAAGAUUUUAACUUAAAAGUUAUAUUUUGUUAUAGAUCGUUUUCUGUAAUUGGACAUUCACUAUGUGCCAGCUAUAACUGGAAAUUUACUUGUGCCAAGUGCUUUACAUAUGAAAUCUCACAAGGCAGGUAGCUUCCGUUAUUCUAAUUUUACAGACAACAGAGACACACAAGGGUGAAGUAACUUGUUCAGUUUUCUCAGGAUUCUUCAGGAAGAGGCAGAGUUUGAAUUCAAACUGAAGCCAGACUCUGACCCUGGCAUUUUAGCCACUAUGGUCUCCUGCCUCCCACUUUUGUUUUUAUUUGCAUUCUAAGCUUUACCUAAUCUAAAACUCAUGUUACUUUAAAUCUAGCCUCAUCUACGUUUGCAUGUAUCAUUGCAGAUAUUAUUCAUCUACAUUACUGGAAUUGUUAUGUGGAUAAACUUGAACAAUAUGGGAUCUGUUUAACACAUCCAAGUUUUCUCCCCUACAAGAUCUAAGAUCUAGAAACUGACUUUGUCAAA